GUCUGCCGUUGAAUAAAAAAACGUAAACUGUGCGAGUUAAACAAGCGGCAUUGAAUACGACUUAAUUUAUCUUUUUGAUUAUUGGAACUGUAAAAGCUUUGCACCUACUGACAUUUAACGGAAUUAUGCUAGACUUUUUACUGCUAUAAAUGAUAUAAUUUUCACGACGCCACUAAUGUAUAUAAUGACGCUAUACUACAUUUUAUCUAGAUAAUAUCAGAAUACCCAUUAUCUUUUUAUUUAUAUUUGUAAUUGUUUUUAGUAAAUACGUAGUGAAUAAACGUC